rnacentral:rRNA from 1 species
GGAGCCGAUGAAGGACGUGAUAAGCUGCGAUAAGCUUCGGGGAGUUGCACGUAAACUUUGAUCCGAAGAUUUCCGAAUGAGGAAACUCACUUAGAGUAAUGUCUAAGUAUCAUUAAGUGAAUACAUAGCUUAAUGAGGGGAACUCAGGGAACUGAAACAUCUAAGUACCUGAAGGAAGAGAAAGAAAUUCGAUUCCGUAAGUAGCGGCGAGCGAACGCGGAUUAGCCCAAACCAAUAAAGUUUUCUUUAUUGGGGUUGCGGACAUAUCAUAACGAAGAGGUAUCGUAAUUGAAGAGGUUUGGAAAGACCCACCACAGAAGGUAAUAGUCCU